rnacentral:rRNA from 1 species
AACGAACGCUGGCGGCAUGCCUAACACAUGCAAGUCGAACGAAGGCUUCGGCCUUAGUGGCGCACGGGUGCGUAACGCGUGGGGAUCUGCCCUUUGCUUCGGAAUAACAGUUAGAAAUGACUGCUAAUACCGGAUGAUGUCGUAAGACCAAAGAUUUAUCGGCAAAGGAUGAACCCGCGUAGGAUUAGCUAGUUGGUGGGGUAAAGGCCUGCCAAGGCGACGAUCCUUAGCUGGUCUGAGAGGAUGAUCAGCCACACUGGGACUGAGACACGGCCCAGACUCCUACGGGAGGCAGCAGUGGGGAAUAUUGGACAAUGGGCGAAAGCCUGAUCCAGCAAUGCCGCGUGAGUGAUGAAGGCCUUCGGGUUGUAAAGCUCUUUUACCAGGGAUGAUAAUGACAGUACCUGGAGAAUAAGCUCCGGCUAACUCCGUGCCAGCAGCCGCGGUAAUAC